UACGUAGGGUGCAAGCGUUAAUCGGAAUUACUGGGCGUAAAGCGUGCGCAGGCGGUGAUGUAAGACAGAUGUGAAAUCCCCGGGCUCAACCUGGGAACUGCAUUUGUGACUGCAUCGCUGGAGUGCGGCAGAGGGGGGUGGAAUUCCGCGUGUAGCAGUGAAAUGCGUAGAGAUGCGGAGGAACACCGAUGGCGAAGGCAGCCCCCUGGGCCAAUACUGACGCUCAGGCACGAAAGCGUGGGGAGCAAACAGG
rnacentral:rRNA from 1 species